AUCACUGGAACCCUUUCGAUUGCCGAAUUUAAGCAACGUCGAACCUGGUCAGUACGUAGAUGGGUGACCUCUUGUGAAUAACAGGUGCUGUAAG